UCAAAUACUAAAUUAAAACCUAACCUAACCAUUGCCUUUCCUAUGACUGACUACCCUAUGGGUUAUGGCCCUUACAAAUUGUAAAAUAAACCUAACUUAGGUUUGUGAGUAUACAAAGAUGCAGCUUGGCUUGUUUUCAGGUUUAGGACCACACCAACCCCCCUCCCUCUGGUCCUCCUGCAGAGUAACAGUACUGCUGGAUAUAGGAUUCGGGUUAGGCUCAUGGGGCUGAGAGCCAUUAACAUGGAGAACGUUCUGGAGGUGGACUUUAAUUCAGAAUAUCAGCGCAUCGUUUUUCCUUAUGGAAAAUCCAUAGGUACGUUUAUCCGGAGCAGAGGGUGGCGGUAAUGAACGCCAGCAGCCGAAGAAGAAAGCUUUUGGUUUAUUGGCUGAUUCCGUCUGUCACGUGACCCUCGCCUUGCAGGCUGUAGCGGUCUUUAGAGAGAACAACGCCGGAUAGAAGCUGAGGAGUUCGAGGACCUGAAACCACAGGAGGUCAGGACUAAAGAGCUAUAAUGUGCUGACCAUAAGAGAAGCAUUUGAAGGACAUUCUGUUUGAUCAAUAAAGAGGUGAAGUGAGUUCUUCAGAAGAGGUGAGAUCAAAUAUACACUAGCAUUUUCC